rnacentral:tRNA from 1 species
GUCCCUGUAGCACAAUGGAUAGGGCGUUAGACUUUUAAUCCAAAGGUCCUGGGUUUGAAUCCCACCUGGGAUG